rnacentral:tRNA from 1 species
UCCGCGGUGGCGCAGCGGUAGCGCAGUUGCCUGUUAAGCAAUUGGUCGUUGGUUCGAAUCCAACCCGCGGAGCAA